ACCAAACCCAGUAGUCUAAAACCUCUCAACAAGUUGAAUCUAGCUAAGCUACUACACUCUCAGAUCGAAGUUCCCGGAUGAAUGGCGUCUCACAUUAAUUUCUCUCUCCGGUGCCCGCCUUCUACGCCACGUUUAGCGUAUAAAUGUCACCUGCGAAACCCUAACUCUCCUCUCAUGCUUAAUUUCCUUCCAUCUUCUUAUUUUUCUCUCAAUCCCCAAAAGAUGUCGUGUUCUAAUCCUUCACGGUGCAGCUUUCUAACUGUGAAGUCUCACAUGGCUACAGAGGAAAAGCCGAUUUCAGAGGAUAGAAUGCUUGUGUUUGUGCCUCCCCAUCCCUUGAUCAAGCACUGGGUUUCAGUCCUGAGGAAUGAGCAAACUCCUUGCCCAAUUUUCAGAAAUGCCUUGGCUGAGUUAGGGAGGCUUUUAAUUUAUGAAGCUUCAAGGGAUUGGUUGCCUACCAUCACCGGGCAGAUUCAGUCACCAAUGGGUGUUGCCUCAGUUGAAUUUAUUGAUCCAAGGGAGCCUGUGGCGGUUGUUCCUAUCUUGAGAGCUGGUCUUGCUCUUGCAGAACAUGCAUCAUCAAUUUUGCCUGCAACAAAAACCUAUCAUAUAGGGAUAAGCAGAGACGAGGAGACACUUCAACCAACAAUAUAUCUGAACAAGUUACCUGAAAAAUUCCCCAAAGAGUCACGAGUAUUUGUGGUAGAUCCCAUGCUGGCAACGGGUGGCACAAUAGUGGCUGCUCUUGACCACAUUAAGGAACAUGGGGUUGAGAACAAACAAAUAAAAGUGAUAUCUGCAGUUGCUGCUCCUCCAGCCCUUCAAAAGCUUAGUGAGAAGUUCCCUGGGCUUCACGUUUACACUGGAAUUAUUGAUCCCACAGUCAAUGACGAAGGAUUUAUAGUUCCUGGACUUGGAGAUGCUGGAGAUCGUAGUUUUGGCACUUGAUGUCUAAUUUUUAUUUUUAUUUUUUUUAAUUAUCAUUAUUCUUUUUCU
rnacentral:misc_RNA from 1 species